CCUACGGGAGGCAGCAGUGGGGAAUAUUGCACAAUGGGGGAAACCCUGAUGCAGCAACGCCGCGUGAAGGAAGACGGUUUUCGGAGUGUAAACUUCUGUUCUUAGGGAAGAAGAAUGACGGGAGCUAAGGAGCAAGCCACGGCUAACUACGUGCCAGCAGCCGCGGUAAGACGUAGGUGGCAAGCGUUGUCCGGAAUUACGGGGUGUAAAGGGAGCGCAGGCGGGAAGCCAAGUCAGCUGUGAAAACUACUGGCUUAACUGGUAGACUGCAGUUGAAACUGGUUUUCUUGAGUGACGUAGAGGUUGGCGGACUUCCGAGUGUAGCGGUGCACUUCGUCGAUCUUCGGCGG
rnacentral:rRNA from 1 species